rnacentral:rRNA from 1 species
GUUUUGUAUGUACCAUCAGAAAAAGGACCGGCUAAUUCCGUGCCAGCAGCCGCGGUAAUACGGAAGGUCCGGGCGUUAUCCGGAUUUAUUGGGUUUAAAGGGAGCGUAGGCCGGAGAUUAAGCGUGUUGUGAAAUGUAGACGCUCAACGUCUGCACUGCAGCGCGAACUGGUUUCCUUGAGUACGCACAAAGUGGGCGGAAUUCGUGGUGUAGCGGUGAAAUGCUUAGAUAUCACGAAGAACUCCGAUUGCGAAGGCAGCUCACUGGAGCGCAACUGACGCUGAAGCUCGAAAGUGCGGGUAUCGAACAGGAUUAGAUACCCUGGUAGUCCGCACGGUAAACGAUGGAUGC